AAAUUGAAGAGUUUGAUCAUGGCUCAGAUUGAACGCUGGCGGCAGGCCUAACACAUGCAAGUCGAACGGUAACAGGAAGCAGCUUGCUGCUUCGCUGACGAGUGGCGGACGGGUGAGUAAUGUCUGGGAAACUGCCUGAUGGAGGGGGAUAACUACUGGAAACGGUGGCUAAUACCGCAUAACGUCGCAAGACCAAAGAGGGGGACCUUCGGGCCUCUUGCCAUCAGAUGUGCCCAGAUGGGAUUAGCUUGUUGGUGAGGUAACGGCUCACCAAGGCGACGAUCCCUAGCUGGUCUGAGAGGAUGACCAGCCACACUGGAACUGAGACACGGUCCAGACUCCUACGGGAGGCAGCAGUGGGGAAUAUUGCACAAUGGGCGCAAGCCUGAUGCAGCCAUGCCGCGUGUAUGAAGAAGGCCUUCGGGUUGUAAAGUACUUUCAGCGGGGAGGAAGGUGUUGUGGUUAAUAACCGCAGCAAUUGACGUUACCCGCAGAAGAAGCACCGGCUAACUCCGUGCCAGCAGCCGCGGUAAUACGGAGGGUGCAAGCGUUAAUCGGAAUUACUGGGCGUAAAGCGCACGCAGGCGGUCUGUCAAGUCGGAUGUGAAAUCCCCGGGCUCAACCUGGGAACUGCAUUCGAAACUGGCAGGCUUGAGUCUUGUAGAGGGGGGUAGAAUUCCAGGUGUAGCGGUGAAAUGCGUAGAGAUCUGGAGGAAUACCGGUGGCGAAGGCGGCCCCCUGGACAAAGACUGACGCUCAGGUGCGAAAGCGUGGGGAGCAAACAGGAUUAGAUACCCUGGUAGUCCACGCCGUAAACGAUGUCUACUUGGAGGUUGUGCCCUUGAGGCGUGGCUUCCGGAGCUAACGCGUUAAGUAGACCGCCUGGGGAGUACGGCCGCAAGGUUAAAACUCAAAUGAAUUGACGGGGGCCCGCACAAGCGGUGGAGCAUGUGGUUUAAUUCGAUGCAACGCGAAGAACCUUACCUGGUCUUGACAUCCACAGAAGAAUCCAGAGAUGGAUUUGUGCCUUCGGGAACUGUGAGACAGGUGCUGCAUGGCUGUCGUCAGCUCGUGUUGUGAAAUGUUGGGUUAAGUCCCGCAACGAGCGCAACC
rnacentral:rRNA from 1 species